UCAGGACGAACGCUGGCGGCGUGCCUAACACAUGCAAGUCGAACGGACGACGGGGAGCUGCUCCCCAAGUAGUGGCGGACGGGUGAGUAACACGUGAGCAACCUGCCCUUCGGAGGGGGACGAACAGCGGGAAACUGCUGCUAAUACCGCAUAAUGUAUCCUGGAGGCAUCUCCGGGAUACCAAAGAUUUUAUCGCCGAAGGAUGGGCUCGCGUCUGAUUAGAUAGUUGGUGGGGCAACGGCCCACCAAGUCUGCGAUCAGUAGCCGGACUGAGAGGUUGAACGGCCACAUUGGGACUGAGAUACGGCCCAGACUCCUACGGGAGGCAGCAGUGGGGAAUAUUGGGCAAAUGGGGGCAACCCUGACCCAGCAACGCCGCGUGGAGGAAGAAGGCUUUCGGGUUGUAAACUCCUUUGACGAGGGACGAUGAUGACGGUACCUCGAAAACAAGCCACGGCUAACUACGUGCCAGCCGCGGC
rnacentral:rRNA from 1 species